AAAUGUACAACAUGUUACAAUAUCAAGGAUUAUUAUAUCAUACAAAGUCUUGCAUGUAAACUUUCUCGUGGCAUUAGUAAAAGUUUUAUAGCAACUAGGUAUUAAAAAUCAGGUUUCGUAAGGCCUUUCUGGAUAUAAACAGAGUCGUAAAAUGCAUUAAGCAAUAACUGUCGCAAAGUAAAGCCAACUAAAACAUUCGCAUUGCUGUAGUAAAAUAUCGAAUUUAUUACUUCAAGUGCGGCGCGGGUAACGAGAUCUCGUAAACAGUUUCAGAAAUAACGGCCGCGAUGGAAACAGCUUUAUAUAGUAAACUGCAGAAGAAAAUCGAUAUGAUAAAGUGCUCGUUAUUAAUUAAAGGUCAGAAAUGUUGUUUAAUUUAACACAUAGGUUUGAUACACGCUUUGGUCGUUCUUAUUGUGUUCAAGACUGCCAAUGCAAAAGAAAACUCAGUUCCUCUUAAAGAUAUAUACUCCGUCAUCGAAAACCUCGUUGCGCCGAUUCUGAAGUCCGUCAAUUUACAAGUUUCUGGAGACGAUGUGCAAGAUUAUUUAACUCCAAACAAAAUUGAGAAACAAUACAAGAAAAAAGUACAAAAUGGUGAUAAUGAUACGGACAACGAAAUAUCACUUACAGAUUAUAGCCAAGAAAUAUUUAUAGAUGACGUUGUUAAGAAUCUACAAGAUUCUUCAAUUUUGAAGAACAUUAACCCACAAGACAAAAUACAAAAAAGAUUUAAUCCUAACGACGAAGCACUUAUAGAGGACAGUGAAGAAACCAUUAUAUUACAAUAUCAGAGUUCAACUGAAGUUAAACCUAAUAGAAGGAAUAUUGAUCCAAAACCAAUAACAACCAACGUUACCAAUGACCGUUCUGAAAAGUAUAAACAAUUGCAACAUAAAAUAGGAAAUCUGUUACAUAAAGAACAAAUAUCUAAUAAAACGAAAAGUUUAAUAAGCAAUGCUUUCGAUAAAGUGAUAAAUCAAAUUAAUCACAAGUGCAUUUUCAGAUCAUCUGAAGAUCUGUCGUCAAAUAUGAGGUUCAGAGUAGGCAAACCUGAACAGGCAGCCAUAAAGUCAAUGUUACAGUCAUACAAAAGCGAAUUCGAUAAACUAAUUGAUAGAUAUCGUUUUGGCAGCAAAGAGAACUCAAAGUUUCUUGCGGAUUUACGGGAAUUAUUUUUUGAAAUGCACCAUUCUUUCAAAAAAUUUACCAUGCAAGACGAUCUACAAUGCAAUGUUGUUAAAAAAAAAUUAAAGGAACCGAAAAAGGAUAACAAAAGUUCUAUGCCUUAUAAAUUUCCAUCCAUACUUCGCGACAGAAAUCAUAGUACCAAAUGUCAAAUUCAUUCAAUCUGCCCCUUUGAAUUAAAAAUGUUUUUAGCUGAUUUUUCAGCCAAUAUUUUAGGUACGAUCGAUCUAGUGUUUCAUAACUACAAAAAGAUGUAUCUAGUUGACGUGUCGAAAGAAAGCAGCAGCGAACAAAAUAAGUUUUUGCUGUUUAUGGUGGAUACAAAUAAUCGGGUGAAUAAGAAAUUUAAUGAAACGUUUAUAAAUGAAAUUUAUAAACUUAAUCUGGAUUCUAUGCCUGACAUUGAUGCAAAAGUGGCAAGACUUAUUAAAUUUGUUGAUGCGACUGUUAACCAUGUUAAAACGUUGGUGGAUGAUGCUUUAAAAGACGAAAUAAGAAGAAUACCUAAUAAAAUGCAAAAUCCGGUAAAAACAGAUAUUAUGACUAACACUGAUAUAGAACUGGUCAAUGUGCUAGAAAAGAUUAAGUCUAAAAUGUGUAAUUCAUUCCAAACAUGCUACAGCAAAACUAAGUAAGGGUACUGAUUUUUCAAUAGCUGUUAAUUUUUACGCAUAUGGGGCAGAGAUUACAUUCUCAGUUUUUCACAACGCGAUUUAAUAGAAUAAAUUAAUAUAAAUUCGAAUAAAUUAACUGAG